rnacentral:lncRNA from 1 species
UUUUUAAAAAUGUCUAGUUGUCAAAAGAAUUAUAAAUACAUACCUAAGACUGUAUUCUUUUGUAGGAUCGAGCAUAGUAGAGAUAAGUUCCUGAAGUUUCUGAAGGUUCUCCGAUGCCGUUGAUGCGUCGGAUAUUAAUUAGAUUUAAGCUAUUCACUACCUCCACCACCCUAAACUUAGAAUGGUUAAGAGCAGAAGCCAUUCCAUCACAGUGUUUGGAUAACUAUAAAUGGAUUUUUAGUUAGUAGAGUGCAGGCCUCAUGGCGUUUGGUUUUUUGCUUGCCACAAAAGCUGUUCCGCCAAAGAUGCAAUUUUAAGUAUGGCCUUUUUUUAUGGAUUCAUAGAAAUAAUAUGCUGGUGUAUCAGAUCAACACUGAUUAAGAAGCAGACAUUGCCUCAUGCGUGUAGAAAGAGACAGUGGCAAACAGUAUUCAAAA